ACCUUGUCAUCGUCCCAGCUUUGAAGUCAUUUAAGUAGAUGCUUCUGAGUCGAUCCAGGGAGCCACAGCUGACUUCCAGAUCUUGCCCUCUUUGUUGAUGUUUCUCCCUCAAAUGCAAUUCAUGAGGAGGUCCCAGGAAAACUGAAUUCCAGGCUUUUUAAGAAAGCAUAGAGUUCCCUGGGUCUACUAAGAACCAUCUGGCAGUCCAGCCAAGAAAAGGGGCCUCUGUAAAGCAGUGAACUCAGCGUGAGCCUCGCCGAGCCCCUGCCACUGAUGGACCUGUGCCGGAGAUCCGUCCGCUCGGCCCUGGGCCGCCAGCGCCUGCAGGACAUCAGCUCCCUGCCCCUGCCUCAGUCUCUCAAAAACUAUCUGCAGUACCAGUGAGCCGAGCCUGAUGGGCAGCACAGACACAGACACACACCGCAGGGCCCGACCCGCCUGUCAUGCACAGUCCCAUGGCACAUAGGAGAAAGGAUCUACCCUUCUCCUGACUCCCCAGGACACUCAGUUCUUUCAAAGACCAGAAUGUGGUACCAACUUUGGAAACGAAAGGUCUCUUGCCAACAGUAUCUACU
rnacentral:sRNA from 1 species